UACGUAGGGGGCGAGCGUUGUCCGGAUUUAUUGGGCGUAAAGAGCUCGUAGGCGGCUUAGCAAGUCGGGUGUGAAAACUCCAGGCUCAACCUGGAGACGCCACUCGAGACUGCUAUGGCUAGAGUCCGGUAGGGGACCACGGAAUUCCUGGUGUAGCGGUGAAAUGCGCAGAUAUCAGGAAGAACACCCGUGGCGAAGGCGGCUCUCUGGGACGGUACUGACGCUGAGACGCGAAAGCGUGGGGAGCGAACAGG
rnacentral:rRNA from 1 species